AUUGAACGCUAGCGGGAUGCUUUACACAUGCAAGUCGAACGGCAGCGCGGACUUCGGUCUGGCGGCGAGUGGCGAACGGGUGAGUAAUGUAUCGGAACGUGCCCAGUAGCGGGGGAUAACUACGCGAAAGCGUAGCUAAUACCGCAUACGCCCUACGGGGGAAAGCAGGGGAUCGUAAGACCUUGCACUAUUGGAGCGGCCGAUAUCGGAUUAGCUAGUUGGUGAGGUAACGGCUCACCAAGGCGACGAUCCGUAGCUGGUUUGAGAGGACGACCCGCCACACUGGGACUGAGACACGGCCCAGACUCCUACGGGAGGCAGCAGUGGGGAAUUUUGGACAAUGGGGGCAACCCUGAUCCAGCCAUCCCGCGUGUGAGAUGAAGGCCUUCGGGUUGUAAAGCACUUUUGGCAGGAAAGAAACGUAGCGGGCUAAUACCCCGUGGAACUGACGGUACCUGCAGAAUAAGCACCGGCUAACUACGUG
rnacentral:rRNA from 1 species